rnacentral:tRNA from 1 species
GGCGCGUUCGUCUAGCGGUUAGGACGCCGGCCUCUCACGCCGGUAACACGGGUUCGAUUCCCGUACGCGCUA